rnacentral:lncRNA from 1 species
UGGGUCUCUAUGGGGCAGUGCUGUCUCUCUAUGGGUCUCUAUGGGUCUCUAUGGGGCAGUGCUGUCUCUCUAUGGGUCUCUAUGGGGCAGUGCUGUCUCUCUAUGGGUCCCUAUGGGUCUCUAUGGGGCAGUGCUGUCUCUCUAUGGGUCUCUAUGGGUCUCUAUGGGGCAGUGCUGUCUCUAUGGGUCUCUAUGGGGCAGUGCUGUGUCUCUAUGGGUCUCUGUGGGUCUCUAUGGGGCAGUGCUGUCUCUCUAUGGGUCUCUAUGGGGCGGUGCUGUCUCUGUGGGUCUCUAUGGGUCUCUAUGGGUCUCUAUGGGGCAGUGCUGUCUCUAUGGGUCUCUAUGGGUCUCUAUGGGGCAGUGCUGUCUCUCUGUGGGUCUCUAUGGGUCUCUAAGGGGCAGUGCUGUCUCUCUAUGGGUCUCUAUGGGGC